rnacentral:rRNA from 1 species
AGUGAACGCUGGCGGUAGGCCUAACACAUGCAAGUCGAACGGCAGCACAGUAAGAGCUUGCUCUUACGGGUGGCGAGUGGCGGACGGGUGAGGAAUACAUCGGAAUCUACUUUUUCGUGGGGGAUAACGUAGGGAAACUUACGCUAAUACCGCAUACGACCUACGGGUGAAAGCAGGGGAUCUUCGGACCUUGCGCGAUUGAAUGAGCCGAUGUCGGAUUAGCUAGUUGGCGGGGUAAAGGCCCACCAAGGCGACGAUCCGUAGCUGGUCUGAGAGGAUGAUCAGCCACACUGGACCUGAGACACGGUCCAGCCUCCUACGGGAGGCAGCAGUGGGGAAUAUUGGACAAUGGGCGCAAGCCUGAUCCAGCCAUACCGCGUGGGUGAAGAAGGCCUUCGGGUUGUAAAGCCCUUUUGUUGGGAAAGAAAAGCAGCAGGUUAAUACCCCGCUGUUCUGACGGUACCCAAAGAAUAAGCACCGGCUAACUUCGUG